AAGCUCGUAGUUGAAUUUCGGGCCUGGCUGAUCUGUCCUCCUAAUCGAGCGCACGGACUUGGUCGGGCCUUUCCUCCUGGGAACCCGAUGCCCUUCAGUGGGCGUCGUGGGGAACCAGGACUUUUACCUUGAAAAAAUUAGAGUGUUCAAAGCAGGCCUUUGCUCGAAUACAUUAGCAUGGAAUAAUAGAAUAGGACAUCGGUUCUAUUUUGUUGGUUUCUAGGACCGCUGUAAUGAUUAUAGGGAUAGUUGGG
rnacentral:rRNA from 1 species